CCCAGAGAACGUCAAUCCGUUGAAUACUGAAUCUGCUUAAAGUCUACGAUGAAAUCAGUGAUUAAAAUGGCUGAAGUAACGAAAGAGGAUAAUACGAAGAUGGUCCGUGAGAGAAUAAAGUACGGAGAUGGAUUGUGAUUGUGAGUGGGACGAAUCUACGAACACCAGGAACUUUCAAAUAUUUUUGUUGAAGAGAAACACAUAAUGAAAAUGAAUGCGACAAUGAUAUUUGGAAAUAUAAUAUACCGUAUACAACUACGUUAUUCACGAACCAAAAUUACUAAGUGGAACCAGCAUCCAAUCCUUCUUGAAAAUCGUUUACCGAAAAAGAUCGAGAAAGUGGAGGACUAGCUCGGUAAAUGCACAAUCAGUUUUAUUAAUUCAUACACUCAAAAACAGAUGUGAAUGAGCAUCGUUAUUGAAAAACUAUCUGGUCAUUAUAUACAAAGAAAUGUAGACGUGUAAUUAAAGUAAACAAAUGAUUGUCAAAUGUAAAACUAGCGUAACAGAAAAAUGUAGUAUGAAGCAAGGAGGUAUAUGUAUUCGACGCGUCUUUUGAUAUUGACAGAGUUCGCGAGGCAUCGUUGUGUCGUAGAAAACACGCCGAAUAAAUGAUCGCGAGAACUGUAAUAUCACAAACUCGUUGAGGAGAAUAGUACACAAGACGAUAAAUUGGUAGGACGAAUAUACAACGAUGCUCGGUGCCGAUCGCGGCGCAAUACGAGCGGCACUGGCAUAUCGAGAUACACGUUACUUACAAUAUUCGUACAAGUGCUUACACUACGUUCGGAUUUCUCGAGAGAUCCGUCGGGGUAUCGCUUAACCGAUAAAUUGACUAUUAAUAUUUCCGUAGAGAAUUUUACAAAUCAGUCGAGACACGCGUACGGAAAAAUGUUCUCGACAACAGUUGACCCCCAUCUAACGUCACCCAGUAAUCCGGUAACCUCUUAACUCCGCAAUCCUGUAAGCCCGUAACCCCGUGACGAAUGGGUUGCUCGAUAACGAACAGAUCGAUGCUCGUUCGAAAGUGACCACAUCUGAUUCAAGAAUAAUGUCAAACUCACUCACAGUAUACCCAACGAAAAAGGAAAUCUUCACCUUCUUCUAAGUUUCUUCUUUUGCCGUUUAAACAUUUUCCCGAGUUUUUUCUCGUUCUCAUGGAACAUCCUUCCAUUCUAAUAAUUGUAUUUGUCGGCCGCGCUUGUUAUUGACAGAAAAUAAAUAUGAAUACUAUGACAAA